ACUCAGAGAGGCAAUUCAUUGGAGUCCUAAAAAUCUCCUGUAGAUGUCGCAUUCUCUAAUUUGUUUGAAAUUACUAUAAAAGGGACAUUUUUCGACCAUAGGUAGACGGAUUGAGUUUUAAGUAAAAUACAUUUUUUUUUACAAAACAGUAGUCAUUAAAACAUAAAAAAAACAUUUGAAAACGUCGACAUUUACAGUAUAUAGUACCUGGCAGACACUUUAAAAGGUAGCUUUCAGUUGUUGGAGUGCCUCUACAGUAGAUUUAUUACACAAGGGAAGAUGAAAUGUAUACCUUUAGUGAUGUUAUUAGUACUCAUCCUGAGAACUGGAAAUGCGAAAGAGACAGACAAGAAAGAAAGCGCGGUUAACACCCAUGAAACAAAGCUUGGCUUGGGUUUCCAUUCUGUGAGCCGUGAUACUGACAGAGGCCAACAUCGCUGGGAAACUCCGGCACCAGUACGGGACACCAGGUUUUGGGCGCCAGGAGCAAGUGACUUUGUGGGAUUGAUGGGAAGGCGAGCAAUGAAGAGGAUUGCAGCAAUCCACAAGUAUGAAGAUUUGGGGAAAACAAAAAGUAAGUAUGAAACAGUAUUUAUCACAAGUGAUUACCACAUAUAAAAGAACAGCAAAUAGCAUCUCUUGUAAUUAUUUGUCACCACUCCCUCGAUCUGCUGUGCAGUGGGGUUACUGGUGCAAACUGGUCACCCAGGUGAAGGCUGCUCUGUAGUGGUGGAUGAAGUGGGUCCCCUCUUCUACGUGAAGUGUUUU
ensembl:lincRNA